rnacentral:lncRNA from 1 species
GAGCAAAUCACAAGGCAAACUCAGAUUCAAAGGAAUGAGGAAAUAGCCUCUUGAUGGGAUGAGGUUCAAAGUUCCACUGCAAAACACAUGAAACAGAGAGGCAGGAAAAACAGGAAUAAUGCCUGCAAUCAAUCAAUCUGCCACAGUAAAAUAGCACAAGGUGCCAAGGGAGCAUAUAGAACAUGCAUAUAUUCCAGCCUAGAAAGUCAGCUCUUUCCCAGAGGCUGCAAUUUCUGGGCUUAAUCUUGAAUGAUGGUUGUCACUGAAAAGGCUCAAGGAGCUCUCUUGUUCCUUCCACCAUCUGAGAACACAGUGAGAAGUCCCCAGGCUUCAACCUGAAAAAGGGCCCUCAUCAGAACCUGAUCAUCAGAACUUGGCACCCCAAUCUUUGUCUUCUGAUCUACAUUGUGACCUAAGUCAGUUAUACUCUCUUCUGCUGCCAUGUGAGAAGGCCCAGGCUUGCUUCCCCUUCACCUUCCGCCAUGACUAACUUUCACAUGACGUGAAACUUAACUUCAUUCAGCACUGUACUCCCAUAGCACCUCACUGGAAAGGCAUUCCCUGGCAACCUUCUUUAUAAUGAAGGUAACUUAUCAAGAUGGAUAUCAGGUGUUCAACUGAUAAAGAUUCAACUUGGAAAGGGAUCUACUUACUUCCUGAUAAUAUGCAACAAAACAGAUACAAGGGAUCAGUUGGUUGAAUCCAUGGAUGCAGAACUGACUGAUAUGAAAUGAAGACUCCAUGUUGCCAAUUUUACAUAUGAAAAUUAAAAGACGUGUGGUAGUACAUUAUUUUUAAAAAUUUAGAGGCCAUUUUAAAAAAAAGAUUGGAGGUUGCUUUAACCACCCAAUCUGGAUAAGAUGUGCCAUCUUGUAGUUCUUGUGAUUCCUUCUAUCAGAGAAUUUGCUACAACAUUUUUGUAACAGUCUAUUUACUUAUCUGCAUCCUUCACUAAAUAGGAAGCUCUUGUUGCCAGAAACGAUGUUUUGUGUAAGCAGUCUUGAGACUGAGAUUGUUAAUGAAUGUUUUUCUGGCUGAAUGAAUGCACA